AAGAAACAGAGGCAAAACAGGCCCAUCCCCUACUGGAUCCGGAUGCGUACCGACAACACCAUCCGCUACAACGCCAAGCGCCGCCACUGGCGCCGCACCAAGCUCGGCUUCUAGAUGUGGUCGGCUUCUUUUUGUUCUUCCCUAUUAUGUCAUGUUUUCUUUCGCUUAGGAUCCACUGACUCUUAUUGCUGAAUUACAUAAUCGAUGAGAUGAUAAUUAUGAUGUAUGAUUUAUGUUGAGAUUUGUGAAUUCUAUACAAAGCUCGAUUUGGAAUUAGGUUAUUUCUCUGAUUUAUUUUUGAUAUUUUUUUGGGCUCGUUCGUAAUUGUUAUGCUGUGGAUGGAUUAGGGAAAAUGCGUUGGUGACUUCUUUAAUGCCUUGUCUGUCAGUUGGAAUUCAUCUUUGUUGUUGUGGGUUAUUAUGCAAUGCUGUUUUGGUCGUGUUAUGUUUGGUGGAUUCAAUAUGCGAUGUGCUUAGUUGACGAAUAGGCUCGUAUAAUUCAAUAUCUAUGAAUGCAUUUCUUAUACUGUUGAGCUUGCAUAUGAAAUUUUGAGUUUGAGAUUAUAACUAUAGAUAGAAAACUGAGGAACUUAUUAGGUGGAGCUUAUUUUUGCAGUUUAUAAGUUGUUUAGGAGCUUAUCUUGUCAAACACUUUUGAAGUGCUUAUAAGCAAUUAAACAAGCUUAUAAGUUAUUUUAAGGAGCUAAUAAGCUUAGUCAAACACCCUCUUAGCUGUUAAUCUUCUAUAGUUGAGAAGAGAUGGGUAGAACCAGCACCAUUUCUUUUACUGGAAGAUUUUAAUUUCAAGAAAUGGUGCUGCUAAAUACAUCUAGUGCUAGAGUUAGGGUUUUUAGUGGUUUUCUUUCUGCUGCUUGUCUAGUAAGUUUGGUAUCUCUCUACACCUUUCUUUUAACAAAGUCUCAGCCAAAUGUCGCUGCUUCUCGGAAAAUUUCCUAUGUAAACGAUAUAGAUUUGUAGAUAGCAAUGGUGUUUGAUAGCAAAAAUGUUGAAAAUGUGUUGUAGAAGUUGCAGGGACUUGAUUUUAUUGUGAAUUCAUUGAACUAAGUUAUUUGUGUUUUGAUGCCAGGAAGUUAUUUAUGAUAGGCCUUAUGAAAGGAACUUUGUGUCUUCACUUUUCAAGGGACUAAUCCUAUAUAACACGAGUUUUUUUUUUGAGAGAGAAAUAUAACACAAGUUCUUUAUUAAGCCCACGUUUAGUUGAGUGUUUUUGGAGGUUGGAAAAAGAAUCAAGGUAAUUGAAUCCAUUACUUGUUGUUUGAUUUGGGUAAUGAGAUAAUCAUUACCCUUAUUUGAGAGGGUAAUCCAAUCACUCAAUUUGUUAAACCAAACACUCAAUAAAAGUAAUGGUUAUUGUUACCAUUCCACUCCUUUAUUUGAUUUCAUUCCAUUUUCAUUCCUCUACUUUAUCCAAACGAGCACUAAGUAGUAAAGCUAAUAAUAAUACACAGAUUUAGUUUUUGCACAUGGUAACUAAAGGCUUUGGUCAUGGGUUCGCCUUCUAUGCAUUCACAGUUUUAUGUUGCAUAUGAUUUUCAGCUGAUGUUUAGAUAUCGAUGGAAUCUGCAAAUUAUUUAGCUUCCGUUGGUAAUCUGAUGGGGAAGAUUAUUGUUAUUAUUAUUGCAUGAUGAUUUAGCAUCCAAAUUCAAGUGUGCAUGUAUAAUAACUUCACAUAUUUGGCUGUUAAUGUUGACAUGGUUACUUAAAUUAUACUCCUAUUCUGUUGUGAUUUUUGUUUCUGGGUGGUGAAUUCUAAAAAUUGCUUAAAUGUUAGUUUGGAAACAAGAUGCAGGUAACUUGUCUUAGUAUACAUCAACUUCCCAGAAAUGAUAUAGAAAUAAGAUGCAAAUAGUUGGUUUGAUAGUGUGGUUUAGAUCAUCAAAUUUAUUCAGUGCUGCUGCAUAUCCCUUGAUGAUCAAUUCCUCAAUAUUUAUAGGAGCUUGCAUUGCAUGCCUGUUGUGUUUCUUAUCAUAGGAGUCUGAAACAUUUCAUUUCCCAGAUCCGACAUUUCACUAGCAUUAAAGCUCUAUGUAUAUAUGGCAUAUUAUAGAUGAAACGAUCGUCAUCCACAUCUGAAACUAGAAAUAGUCGACAGCACUUGUUUUCACUCUCAACAGCCGUUGGAUUACGUAUUGGCUAUAGCGAUUUCAUUAAUUUAUCUUCAGAAAAAAAUAAUUCAACAAUUAAUUUUUUCGCCAAUUUAAUAGUAACAGUUUUGUGAUUAUAAUAAAUAAUUGAAGGAAAUUUGUAUAUAAAAGAAUUGUAAGUGCUCAACUAUUUAUUUCACUCAAUUAUGUUCAAUAUUUUCGCACAUUUAAAAGGUUCCCCUAAAUUUUAGACUAUUCUUUAUUUUUAUUAAUAAAGAUAAACGAUUUAAUAUGUUGUAUAUUAAAAAAAAACCCAUUUUAAGUAUAUAAUAUUACGUCUUUAUUCUUUCUGUUGAAUUAUUGAUAGUUUACUUUUUGUAUUUAUAAAUUAUAUUAAUAUUUAUAUUUGGUGCAGUAAUUGAAAAAUAUCACUUACUAGUGUAUCAUAUGGAAAGCUGUACUAGUUAAAGAAAAUGACUUUGAAUUUUGGAUAUUUGUUUCUACGUUUUUUAUUUUCGGGCAAAAUGUCAUUCCUAUUAUAAUUACUUAAUACAAUUACUUGUUCCCCAAAGAGAAUUAAUACAAUAAAUUAUAAAUUUGACAUUGCCCGCUUUGCCCUUGUAGUACAUUUUCAAACUUAAUAUUCCCUCUGUCCCAUGAAGCAAGAACAAGUUUUCUUUUUGGUCUGUCCCACCAAAUAAGACCAGUUUCUAAAAAUAAGAAAAAAAUUACUCUUUAUUCACCUUUUUACUUUUUCACCUACCACACUUAACUCUUGCUUCAUGGAACAGAUGAAAUAAUAUAAAUAUUUGGUAUUUUAAAUUUUUAUAUACUGUAAAAAUAGUGCUAAAACAUGUCAAAUAGAUGCAUUACUGCAUUACAAAUACGACUCCUACAUGCCUACAAGGCUACAAUCAAAGUACUCCCUUCGUUUUUCAUAUUUAUGUGAAUUUUUGUUAUACCUCUUGGCCAUCGCCGCCGCACCUGCUCUCACCUCUCAACCUCUUGACAGAACACACACACACUGAGAACUCACACAAUCAGAUGUCGGUGUCUUUCUCAAACAUCCGGCUUAUAACAGCGGUUGGGCCGCUGCCGUCAUCUCUCUCUAUAUCUCUAUCUCUCCCCUCCACAUCAACCAUUUCCCAUUUACGCAUAGAUCAUAACAGAGUCGAGCCUUAAUUCCCAGAUCCCCAAUUUGAUAGUUUAACCUAAUUUGAUCCUAACAAAAACAAAUUUAAUCUAUUUUGAUCCUAUAACUAACAAAUCAGGUAAAACGGCGUCGUUUAUAGUAAAUGUGUAAUAACGUCAUUUCAAUUGCUGUCUGACAUGUUCAUGCCAUUUAUUAGGUAACUUAUAAAUUGUCACGUCGGCUUGUAAUUUUAGAAUUUAAGAAAAGUGUGAAAAAAUUGAAUGAUUCAUUAAAUAAUUAAAUUUAUGAAAUUACAAACAAAAUAAAAUUAAUAAAAAAGUUAGAAAUUCGCCCAAAAUUCAUAAGUAAAAACGAGGGUUUAUAUAUUGUUGCCGCUUUUAACAGGACGCCAGUGCCGCCGUUGCAAACCCUAGAGGAGUUGAGCUCGCAGCAGCCGUCGGGACUUCAACCAUGGUUCGGAUCCAUCUCUCUCUAUGUUUUCCGUCUAAUUUUUUUCUGUUGAAAAUGUAUUCUCUCGCUAAUUAUUUGUGUAAUUAUCGAAUGAGCAGCCGUCGCACAAGACCUUCAUGAUAAAGAAGAAGCUGGCGAAGAAACAGAGACAGAACAGGCCUAUCCCCUACUGGAUCCGGAUGCGUACCGACAACACCAUCCGCUACAACGCCAAGCGCCGCCACUGGCGCCGCACCAAG
rnacentral:lncRNA from 1 species